rnacentral:sRNA from 1 species
AAAUUAGAAAUUUAACCGUAGACAGCGGGUGCGAAAGCUUAAUUUCCCGCCGAGGUACAAUAUAAAAUAUUGACCUCGCCUGCCUAUGUAGACGAGGUUUUUUUAUG